rnacentral:rRNA from 1 species
GAUGAACGCUGGCGGCGUGCCUAAUACAUGCAAGUCGAGCGAACGGACGAGAAGCUUGCUUCUCUGAUGUUAGCGGCGGACGGGUGAGUAACACGUGGAUAACCUACCUAUAAGACUGGGAUAACUUCGGGAAACCGGAACUAAUACCGGAUAAUAUUUUGAACCGCAUGGUUCAAAGGUGAAAGACGGUCUUGCUGUCACUUAUAGAUGGAUCCGCGCUGCAUUAGCUAGUUGGUAAGGUAACGGCUUACCAAGGCAACGAUGCAUAGCCGACCUGAGAGGGUGAUCGGCCACACUGGAACUGAGACACGGUCCAGACUCCUACGGGAGGCAGCAGUAGGGAAUCUUCCGCAAUGGGCGAAAGCCUGACGGAGCAACGCCGCGUGAGUGAUGAAGGUAUUCGGAUCGUAAAACUCUGUUAUUAGGGAAGAACAUAUGUGUAAGUAACUGUGCACAUCUUGACGGUACCUAAUCAGAAAGCCACGGCUAACUACGUG